UUUCCCCAAAUCGUAAACCCUUAUUAUUUUCCCCAAUUCUUCCGCGAAAUCUCCAUCUCCAAUCUGAUCGUCUUCCAUCUCCAAUCCGACCAUCUUCCGGCCUCGUCACCAUUCGCCCCUACUCCUGGCCGUCUGUUCACUCUGGCGUGGCCAUCUAUUCGCUCCGAUGUGUCCAUCGUUUUCGUCUUCUCCGGCGCUGCCAUUCCUUCUCUCUUUGUCUCUCUCUUUGUGAAUAUUGUGUAUUUUCCUUUCAUAAACAUUCCAACAAUCCAAUGUCUUUAUACAUGAGUUUCAACUACCCCUCUUCUUCUUACCCAAGUCAGAAGAAGAAGGAGGGGUGAGUUUUUUUUCUUUUUUUCAUGGUGGAAGUUUGAAUUUUGAAGGUGGGUGUUCAAAUGUUGCUUCAUUAUCCUAAGUACACGAAGAGGGAUUAUGAGAAAAUGGGGGAAGGUAAGUUGAAUUUGCUUCUAAAACAAUAUGGACUCUGUUUUGAUGGUACCCUUAAGGGAAAAGAGCAUUUGCUAUUGGGAUGUUCUUAUGGCCUGAACAACUUUGAAUUUACCCACCAUGUGUUUGAUGAAAUUCCUAAAAAAAAAAAAACUAUUAAAUUUUUAUGAACUCCAACUCUGCCUUGGUCUUGAUUGUCACAUCUUAUGUUUCUAUGAAUGUUUCUUAGUGUGCUGAGAAUGGUUUUUCAGGAUUCAAUAUUUAACAAAAACGUCUACAUGCUAGCAAGGUUUGAUUUUCUCCAUUUUUCUUUGAAUUGGUGCUUAUCUAGUGAUUUUAAGAUAUGAUUUGGAGUAGUUGUGUAAAUGACUGAUAAUUUGUGGGGAUUUUCACUUAAUACAUUUAGGAUUUUCGUUAGGUUUUAUCUUGUUGUACUGUGGACGGAGGAAGAACAUAAGUUUUUCUUGUUGGGAUUACAACAAGAUUUCUUGAUUGAUAGGAUUUUGGAAUCAUGCAGAAAAGUUGAAGUAUUCUCUUAUUUAUUUCUUGAAAUCUUCUAAAAAAGAACAUCAUCAAUCAAUUUUAUCUUGAAACUUAAACAAGAUUUUUUUUUUGUGAGAUUAUGAGAAAAUAUGAUAUUAGUUUGUGCUUGUAAGGUGUUUGACGAUAUGUGUCUGAAGCUUUAAAAGUUUUUUUCUUUUUCUUUUGCAUUGUGCGAGUGUGUUCUAUGAUCUGAUUGUUACACACACUGAAGCCUAUUUUUAACUUAGUAUAUUAGACUUGUUGUAAUGAAGUUUAGUUUGGCAAUUGGCAAUUCACCAUUUAGAAAAUUGUUUGAUUUGUUUUUAUUGUGCUAGUUGCUGUCAUUUUGCAGUUUGCACAAGUAUUUGUAGCUAAGUCAUGUCAAUUCAUCUAUAUGGUGCAUAAUGGUUUUUUAGUGUACACUUUCCACCCCUCUUUCCUCCUUUUGGAUAGAAGUUUCUCAAAAUGUUCAAUCUCGUGAAUUAAUUGUUUCCCUGUUUUCAUAGGCAGGAAGCGUGGAUGUUCAAUUAUAUAUACGUUUGUUUAGGAGCUAUUUUUGAUACCCUAAAAUCAUUUGAUUCAUAGACCUAUUAUCUUUUAUGCUAUGAGUUGGUCUAAAUGUAUAUUUUGUUGUCUCCAUUAGACUGAGGAUCCAUUAUCUUUUCAUUGUAGAUAAUAUAUGGGUCCUCGAAAAUGUUCUGCUCAGUUUUCCUGAUAAUUUAUGUUCCAGAUUUAUGAUGGAAUGAUUAUUGGAGAACAUUCUAGGGAAUCAAAUCUAGAUGUUAAUCUUGUAAGAACUAAAGAAAACUUACCAAUAUCCGUUUUGCUUGCAAAGAUGAAAACAUGAAGCUAUCUCCACCUCGACUUAGAUGAGUCUUGAAGAAGCGAAAUGAUACGUUGCAUCUGAUAAACUUAUUAAGUUCAAAGAAAGUGUUAAACAAUUUGCUCAAGAUAACAUUGCUCCCCAUGCCACAAAAAUUGAUCAACCCAACUCUUUUCCAAAUGUCAGUUGGAAGUCCUUCUCUAUAUGUUUAAUGAGUUGCUAUAUGAUUUAACUAAAAUGUAUUGUAUUGUAGGAUGUUAACUUGUGGAAGCUCAUUCGGGACUUCGAUCUCCAUGGAAUUAGAACAUCAGAUUACUUAUUUAUAUCCAGGUAAAUUUUCUAAAGAGCAAUGAUACAAGAGUUGUAAUUUGUAAAAAGUUUCAAUAUUGUAGACCAAGUGGAUGUUACGGUGAUGCUGUUAUUCUACAUUUGUGCUCUGCUAUGUAGUUGUUUCUCUUAUCGACGCAUGUAGUGAUAGGUUCAACUGGAGUCAACAACUUCAUAAGUUUACUUUCCAAGAACAUUUUCAGAGACGAACAUUCUCGGUUGGUCGUUUAUGCUUCUGCAGAAAAUCUUGUUAGAUGUAUUCUAAUGCUAUUUAAAAUAUUUUUUGAUUAAGGGUUGGGAUUCCGUACUUGUAAAUUGUUGACACUUGAUUGGA